GCCACAACUAAGGAGCCCUGGAGCCACAACUAAGACCCAGUGCAACCAAAUAAAUAAAUAUUUUAAAAAGAGAGUGACCUAUGUCACAUGGAAAAGCCACUAAGCCAAAGAGGUGACAGGGAAGUGGCUUCCCACACACCCAGAAGAAUGUAAGAUUACCUCCUCACAAGGGAAAAAGAGAAACCCAACCCGAUUACAGUGUAAAAAUAGGUCACUGCCUGAAUAUAGCCCUUUGGGUUACUGGCAGCCAAGCCCCUUUUGCCUCUGACUCCAGUGUCACAAGAAAGCGGCAGCACCAUCUUAGAAUAAGGGCUCCAUGGCCAGCUGCCAGCCCCGGCCUGGACUUCCCUCUGGCAUUCUAGAACUACUGGGCGCUCAGCAAGCCUCUGUCACAGCUGACUUGGAAUAGCCAGAGUUGGUAAGUUUUGUUUUGAACAAACUAGGAGGCAAUUCAAGGUUGUGCUUAUGACAAGUCUCUUUCCCCUGUAUCCAGCCAUACUUACUUCAGUAGGAAAGAAAGGAAGACUUUCAGUAGCUUGCUUGUACCUAGGCAGGGCCAACAGCAGCCUCUCUUCCAUGACAGAGUUACAAUUAUGAUCACUGUAAUGCUUUAUUUGCAGCAAAUUCUCUAGGUGUGCAUGACUGGAAGGGGUGUCAAAAUUUUGGUUCUAUGGCAAAAAACUGCUGUGGAUUGCUUUUUAAAAAAAAAAAGGCUGAGAAUUACUGAUCAAGAAUCAGUGGUAGAACAGAGAAGGUGGGAGUUCCCUGGUAGCCUAGUGGUUAGGAUUCCAGGUUUUCAUUGCCGUGGCCCAGGUUCAAUCCCUGGUCGGGGAACGAGAUCCCACAAGAAAAAAAGAACACUGACUGACUGCCACUGGGUUAAUCACUGUGGUGACAUGCGAGGGGUUACCUGAUUGGGUUUAAACACUCAAGGGCCACCCCCGGAGCUGAGGCGGGACCAAUCCCUCUCUACCAGAAGACAAAAACGUUGUUUGCUAUGGGAGGAAGUGGAGAGGUAGAAGACAUGGGGGAGGAAUGGGGACAAUUAUAAAGUCCUUCACACAUCACCUGGUAUUGAAGUUUGACUCAGAUACCCAGUAUCGAGGGCAAACGUGGAAGUGCAUUUUGUGUUUGUUUUUUGGCGCACGGCAGGUGGGAUCUUAGUUCCCUGACCAGGGAUCGAACCCGCAUCCCUUGAGCUGGAAAUGCAGAGUCUUAACCACUGGACCGCAAGGGAAGUCCUAAAAGUGCAUUUUGAGUGAUACUUUAUCAUUUAACAAAGAUGAACGUUUAUUCCUAUACAGAGACAAAUUCCCUUGGAGGGUAAACUCAAGAAACAUAUGUCUCGGAACUCUACGUAGGGGAAAAUAGGUAAAGGUGAGGAGAGCAGGCUAAGUUUGGAAAGAUGCAGUGAAACCCAUUCGAACAGGCCAUUCUUACAUUGAUCCUCCAGAAGGCAGCAGACAUAACAGUAAAUCAAAACCAACUGAAAUUAUUUCAGCAGAGGGCUGAGAUGAAAUGGUCCAGAUGCUUCUCUUCAAAUGAUCUAACUUACUGCAAAUAGAGAUCAACUUGUCUUAGACGCCUUCUUAUAUAUCAAAUUUCUAAAAAUUAGCUACAACACUUUAAAAACCUGACCCCUAGAGUUUUUCAAGUUAUUGUCAUUAUCAGAUUAUCCUGAGAGUGUGUUUGUAUGUACAUGUGUGUACCUGUCACUUAUUUUAAAUAAAAUAUUUGAGGGCUACUGGGUGCUCUGCUCUGUGCUAACAGGGUGGAAAUGGGAGGAUUCAAGGCCACAUCUCUGCCCUCAAGGAGUACAACCACCAGCUGAGUAAAAUUACUAUUUGUCAGGCACUGUGCUAACUGCUUUACAUUUAUUUCCUCAUUUAAUUUUAUCCACAAUGAUCCUAUGGGCUAAGUAUCAUCAAUGGAUUUUCCAAAUUAGGAAACCAAAGUUAAAUGGUUAAGCAACUUGACUCAGCUCACACAAGCAGCAUGCAACAGCUGGGAUUCACACCUAGGUCUUCCUCAUUGCAAAACUACGCUCUUAACCCACAGCACAAACAUCCCGUAAGAGUGGACAGUACAAGACAGUACGUUAGAGUGAAGAGCUCAGUACUGGGACGCAGAGCUGAGUGCCUCUGGAUUCUGGGGAAGCCAAAGAAGGCACAUGGUGUGAGGAUGAGGAUGAGCCAUCACACGCUGCUGUCACUCAUUGAACUGAAGUAAGAGAGGAUGACACGGGGAAAGCUACAGGAGCCUGGAACUCCCAAACCUAUUUGGAAGCUUUAAGGGGACCUCGACUAGGAGGAUGAGUGAGCUGCGAUUUGCCUGUGACGGCAACACCAUCCUUCCCCCUAGAAGCCAUCCCCCACUCCCGCACCUCUCAGCCUUGGACCACAGUCGCCCAGGAAAAGCGGAAAGGAAUUGGGAUACUUAUCCUGGGAGAAAGGAAGCAAAAAGGAGAAAGGGGGUGAAGAUGAAAGAAUUUUGAGGUUCAAGAGAGAUAUACUGACAGAGUUCACAAAGGGGACCAGGUUUCUCAGCGAGAUUUCUACCAUAGAAUGAAUGGCUUUUAUACUCAGAAAACAACAUUAUGUUUUAAAACUUCUCUUCAAUUAAAGCAGUCUAUUAAAGAUAACUGCUGCGUUCUGAAGA